UACGGGGGGAGCAAGCGUUGUUCGGAUUUACUGGGCGUAAAGGGCGCGUAGGCGGCGCAACAAGUCACUUGUGAAAUCUCAGAGCUUAACUCUGAACGGUCAAGUGAUACUGUCGUGCUAGAGUGCAGAAGGGGCAACUGGAAUUCUCGGUGUAGCGGUGAAAUGCGUAGAUAUCAAGAGGAACACCAGAGGCGAAGGCGGAUUGCUGGGCUGACACUGACGCUGAGGCGCGAAAGCUAGGGUAGCAAACGGG
rnacentral:rRNA from 1 species